GUAGAGUACACCAUGGUAAGGCGUAAGUCAUCGGUUCAAAUCCGAUAAAGGGCU
rnacentral:tRNA from 1 species